AGGAGAGGAGAGGAGAGGAGAGGAGAAGGAAGAGGAGAGGAGGAGGAGAGGAGGAGGAGAGGAGGAGGAAGAGGAGGGGUAGGAGGAGGUGGCGCGUCAGGAGCAGAGAGCCGGGGCUGCCGGGCGGCAGCCUGGCGCGUGCGGCGGAGCGGCGGGAUGCGGCGGUGCCGGGGCUCAGGGCUGGCGGGACUGGCCGCGGUGCUGCUGGUGACUGUGGGCAGAGCCCAGUUGCAGCAGGAGCCGUUGGCAGAGACCACCGAGGGCACCGGCAUCAGCAUCAACUGCUCACACCCCAAUAUACAAUCAUAUGACUACAUCGCCUGGUACCGUCAGCUACCGGGCCGACGUCCCGAAUUCCUCGUGAACAGUUUUAGAGGCUCCAAAACGCUGUCGGAGCCGCGGGGGCGGCUGUCGGUGGCGGCAGACCGCCGGUCCAGCGCCCUGUGGCUCGAACGGCCCCGGCGCGGGGACGCGGCGGUGUACUACUGCGCCUUGGAUGACACGGUGAGAGAAGCCGGAUCUGCGGUCGGGCACGAACCGCCGCGGGCGGGGUAAUGGGGAGCGGGUGAACAACACCGGUCGGAUCCGCCAGGGGGCGCUGCCGCUCCACCCGCCGCUGCCGCCUUGUCCCACCCGGCCCAUGGCGGUUCCGUUGCCCGAACGGCACCGGCACCAGCUUCAGCAUCAACGUCGCCAUUGACAUUUCCGUUGUCACCCCCCGCGGGACGGAGACAGACAUACCCCGUCACAUCACGGUGGAAUCGUGAUCGGAGCAGUGUCGGUGUCCGGUGGUGGCCGGGAAAGAGCGACUGCAGUCGCCGGCCCCGCCGGCUCCCGGCGAGGAGCAGCGACAUUCUGCUCUGCAGAGUGGGGCGGGCAGAGAGAUCCUCCUGCCCGCGGGCAGCUGCACAGCCCUUGCUCCUGCUGCAAUG